CCACAUCUUUCUUUCCUGUCCCAAACUCCUCCGUCCUAUAUACGACAUCCUUCCCUGUGAUAUUCCCCGCCCUAUAAAUGUUCAAUGUUUGAUAAUGUUGGUGUUUAGUCCCUAUUGUAGAUUUUUGUGUAAAUAUUUUGAAAUAAAUAAAAUUAAGCUGUAAAUAAAUCAUGUGUCUGUCCUAGUGUUAUGGUGUAACAAUGAAAGUCUGACUAUUUUGCCUGUUUUCAAAAUUAAAUAGAGACUGUUAUCUCUACUGCACCGACCAAUUAAUCUCCUUCGUGUGUUCUCCACUCUACGUGACAUUGGCGAAAUCUACCGUGCUAUUUUGGCACAACUGAAAGCCAUUAAACCAAUCAAUCAAUCAAUCAAAAA
rnacentral:misc_RNA from 1 species